rnacentral:rRNA from 1 species
GCGUCGGUUUACACCCA